GGAUUUUACUCUAUGUGCAACCUAACAACUUGAUCUCCCACAACCUCAAGAGAGUUGCCAGAAGGCACAAAACUCCUGGAUCAGAGACAAAGGACAGUGUUUUUACUAACAGCAACACUGACACUAUCAUCAUUGUUUUGCCCCAGUCCCUUGACCACCAGUUCCUGUAGGACAACACAAAAAGACACCUUUUCAAUUUUCACCAAUCCCUAUUCCUGAAAUGUCCUUUGAACCUGCUCUUUUGUCUUCUUACUGGUUGCCUCAGUAGAUAGCCACUUGACGAGAAAGAUCAGUCAAAGCUCUGCAGACUACAGAAUAACCCAACUGAAAAUCUACAAGUGAUAUUGUCCACAGCACGAAAAGAUUGGUAAAUACAGCCUUCAGUCUGUCAGCUAAUGGCAUCAACCUCCUCCAAAUCAGUGAGAACCAUGCUAUGAAGUUAGCAACAACCUAGUCAAUAACAGGUGUGGAGAGUUCCAGGCUACAAAGAGUUUACAUCCAACCUCUGUGGAAAUACUACCAUUUUUUUCUUAAUAAACACACAUGCAUC